rnacentral:RNase_P_RNA from 1 species
GUGGGCGGAAGCUCAUGUAGAGGUCACAUGCUGAGUGCCGUCACUCCACCAACACCUCGGGGAAGGUCUGAGACAAGAGCCAAUGGUUAUCCCCCCCGCAGGUACACCUGACACGGGUGAGUGAGUGACAGAAAGAAUGGGUCAUGUGAGCAAGUUCUAGCAGGAGAAGCCUGGUGCGCAGUUUCUUCAGCUCCACCGGUGGAUGUGACUCGCACUGACUUGGAAUCGCUCGCGGCUGGCGGAUGAGUGGCGAUGUAUGAGGUGGGGCAGCUCCAGAACCCAAUAUCAGACUACUCUCCCCCCAC